GACAAAUGGCGGAGCUGGGAUUAGAAUCCAGGUCCUCUGACUCCCAGGCCUGGGCUCUUUCCACAAGGCCUCGCUGCUGACCGUAAGAGAGUGAGAACGAACCAUACAGGCAGCGUAAAAAGACUUGAGUUUGAAGUUUCAUCCAUUGGAGUUGAUGGAUGGGAUUUAUUGCCAACCCAGUGAGGCUGAGAUGAAAGAAUGCUCGUGUUCGCGUGGAGGCAGAAGAGCUUAUAAGACGUUGGGGUUUUUUUUUUCUACUGAAUUCCUCAAUGUUACUAUUAAAAGAUGUCGAAUA